ACCUGCCAAAACAGAAAUCAAUUGGAUUCAUUAGUCACAUCAUAAAAAGCUCUCACAACUCGUGCUUGCCUUUUAGGGCAGGGGAAAAACAGAUUUUCCACGUGAACUUGGCAGUGAGUCCCCAUACCCUAUACGUUCAUCUAAUUUGAAUGAUGUAAAUGAAACAAUUAUAUGAAAGAUCAUUUAGGGAAGUUGUCUUAAAUGAUAAUGAACUAUAAUACUCAAAAAAAUUUAAAUGUUGAAAGAUAAAGCAGAGUCUGUGUGGAUUUCUUUGGAGCUUUGUUGACAUCAUCUUGGCAGAAACAGUAAUUGAAAGUGCAUCAACAAAAAAGACCCAUUAUACUAUACCUUCGGGUUUAAAACGUAAACAUUUUUUAAACACAAAUGAACUUGCC
rnacentral:misc_RNA from 1 species